rnacentral:rRNA from 1 species
UAGGGAAUAUUGGUAAUGUGCGAAAGCGCGAACCAGCAACGCCGCGUGCACGAUGAAGGCCUUCGGGUCGUAAAGUGCUUUUAGAGAGGAUGAGGAAGGACAGUACUUUCUGAAUAAGCCUCGGCUAACUACGUGCCAGCAGCCGCGGUAAAACGUAGGAGGCAAGCGUCAUCCGGAUUUACUGGGCGUAAAGCGCAUGCAGGUGGUUUUGUAAGUUGGAUGUGAAAGCUCCUGGCUUAACUGGGAGAGGUCGUUCAAAACUACAAGACUUGAGAUUGGUAGAGGAAAAUGGAAUUCCGGGUGUAGUGGUGAAAUGCGUAGAUAUCCGGAGGAACACCAGUGGCGAAAGCGGUUUUCUGGACCAAUUCUGACACUCAGAUGCGAAAGCUAAGGUAGCAAACG